CCUACGGGAGGCAGCAGUGGGGAAUUUUGCGCAAUGGGCGAAAGCCUGACGCAGCAACGCCGCGUGGAGGAUGAAGGCCCUCGGGUCGUAAACUCCUGUCAGGGGGGACGAAAGCCUCGCAAGGGGUCUGACUGUACCCUCUGAGGAAGCCACGGCUAACUCCGUGCCAGCAGCCGCGGUAAUACGGAGGUGGCAAGCGUUGUUCGGAAUUACUGGGCGUAAAGGGCGCGUAGGCGGCUUGGCAAGUCAGAUGUGAAAGCCCCGGGCUUAACUUGGGAAU
rnacentral:rRNA from 1 species